UACGUAGGGUGCAAGCGUUAAUCGGAAUUACUGGGCGUAAAGCGUGCGCAGGCGGUUGUGUAAGUCAGAUGUGAAAUCCCCGGGCUCAACCUGGGAAUGGCAUUUGAGACUGCACAGCUAGAGUGUGUCAGAGGGGGUAGAAUUCCACGUGUGAGCAGUGAAAUGCGUAGAGAUGUGGAGGAAUACCGAUGGCGAAGGCAGCCCCCUGGGAUAACACUGACGCUCAUGCACGAAAGCGUGGGAGC
rnacentral:rRNA from 1 species